rnacentral:tRNA from 1 species
GGCUUCAAAGCUCAGGUGGUAGAGCGCUUGCCGCGUAGAGGCACGGUGUUUCUGUCGCUGGUUCAAAUUCAGCCGAAGCCC